rnacentral:rRNA from 1 species
GAUGAACGCUAGCUACAGGCUUAACACAUGCAAGUCGAGGGGAAACGACAUCGAAAGCUUGCUUUUGAUGGGCGUCGACCGGCGCACGGGUGAGUAACGCGUAUCCAACCUGCCCACCACUUGGGGAUAACCUUGCGAAAGUAAGACUAAUACCCAAUGACGUCUCUAGAAGACAUCUGAAGGAGAUUAAAGAUUUAACGGUGAUGGAUGGGGAUGCGGCUGAUUAGCUUGUUGGCGGGGUAACGGCCCACCAAGGCGACGAUCAGUAGGGGUUCUGAGAGGAAGGUCCCCCACAUUGGAACUGAGACACGGUCCAAACUCCUACGGGAGGCAGCAGUGAGGAAUAUUGGUCAAUGGGCGAGAGCCUGAACCAGCCAAGUAGCGUGCAGGAUGACGGCCCUAUGGGUUGUAAACUGCUUUUAUAAGGGAAUAAAGUGAGUCUCGUGAGACUUUUUGCAUGUACCUUAUGAAUAAGGACCGGCUAAUUCCGUGCCAGCCGCCGCCGUAA